AUGCUUUUUGAUUUCUACAGAUAAAAUUAUUCCAACUAUACUUUGAACAGGAUUUGGACUGCGACCACAAUUCAAACUAUCUAAUAGUUCAUUGUCCACGAUGAUGAAAACAGAACAAACAAGACCUUUGUCCUCAAGAUAAAACAAGGGUCAGCCUCACAAAACCUGAGUGUCCAGGUCAUCCACAUCAGGCUGAUACAACAAAGACACAAGAUGGAGAAACACUUACUUCUUCUGCUGGUGGCUUUUGCAACUUCUUGUGCUUCACCUCAAGAUAUGUCAGGCAAAGUCUUCAUCUUUCCGAAGGAAACCAACACAGAUUAUGUGAAAUUACUGACAAGUCAAACUACAUUCGAUGCUGUGACGUUAUGUCUGAGGUAAUCAGGUG